UUCUUGAAAAUACACCAUGAAAGUGAAUUUUCAAUCAGCUUCCUCAAUUUUAAAUCACGCUCCGGCCCGCCCAUCGAGCUGAACCAUUGAGAAGAUGGAUAAGCUCCCUCGUCAUGGGGCCUGCGGGUGGCUUUCCGGGAGGCGAAUCUCAAAUCUGAUUGGCUAAAAAAAGAAACAGCCAUUUUAGUGUGUGCGUGCGUGUAUUUGGGACCAUCUCAGCGGUUGUUUCCGAGUUUUACCAUUCAAUGUGUUUUGAUGAGGAGCAAAAUUAUAAAUUUUUAAACAAAGAGCGAUAGAAGGCUGUUUAUUUCGAGCCUUGCAUUACUUUUAUUCUAUAAAUGUUUUCUUUGACAGGAGGCUUCUGUUCAACUGGUCUCAUGCUUUGAUCGCAAUGGUAUUAAAAAUUCUGGCGAUUGCAGCGAUAUUCACUGGCCUAAAGAUAAAUGACAACACUAUUGAUUAAUGGCUGAUGAAAGUGAUGCGUUGGCUGGUCACCUGGGAGGCUUUGUUCUGUAUCUUGUUGGAAAUCAACUUCAAACGGAAGGUUGAUGUAUCAGAUACUACAAUGAUAAAAGCUGGUGUCCUGCUGGUGGCCUUGUACAUCACUGGAAAUGUAGUAUUUUUGCUUGCCUUGUUGUUUGGAGUUGGGAUGUCAUAAUUUGAACGAAUACACAUAAAGAAAUUGUAACUAGGAGUGGGUGUGUUAUGAUCAUGUUCUGUUAGUGUCCGGCAGUUGGCAGAGGCGUUCCCGGUUUUCCUGCUACUCACCUGUCUGGCAUCAUAAUUAUUGGG